UACUAAACAUUUAUGGUUCUAG
rnacentral:miRNA from 1 species